GCAUGAGUUGAGUCAUACUUAUAAGUAAUGAUUUUUUAAAUUUUCCUUUUCUUCUAUUUUCCUUGGUAGUAGGUGCUUAACGAUAUUUAUUUACAUUAAAAAAAAUGUAGCUACGAUUCUUGUUUCUCAUUAACCAAGAGAACCAACACAACUUUUCAAAAUUAAGCUGGCCGUUCAAAUACAAGGAAGCUAAACAACAUACUUCCGAAUGACCAAUAGGUCAACUAAGAAAUUAAGAAGAAAACUUUAACAUUUCUUGAAACAAAUGAAAAUGGCAACCCAACAUACAGAAUAUGUGGGAUCCAGCAAAAGCUGUACUAAAAGGGAAGUUUUAUAGCAAUAACUGUCUACAUCCAAAAACAGAAAAACUUAAAUAACCUAAUGAUGAACCUCAAGGAACUAGAAAAACAAGAAAAACCCAAAUAACUAGAAAGAAAUGAUAAAUAUCAAAACAGAAAUAACUGGAAAUGAGAGGAAAAACUACAAAAGAUCAACAAAACAAAAAGUUGAAUUUUUUGAAAAGGUAAAUAGAAAUGACAAAUCUUUAGCUACACUAAGAAAAAAACACAAACAAAAUCAGAGGUGAAAAAGGAAUCAUUACAACUGAUACCACGGAAAUACAAAGAAUCAUUAGUAACUGCUAUGAAAAACUACAUGCCAACAAAUUGGAAAACAUGUAAGAAAUGGAUAACGAUUGGAUACAUAAAACCUGCCAAAACUGAACCAUGAAGAAAUUAAAAAACUCGAAGUGACCAAUGGUAACUAAAGAAAUCAAAGCAGUAAAAAUAAUAAUAAUAAUAUCCUAUCACAGAAAAGCCCAGGACCUGACUGAUUGACUGCUGAAUUCUACUAAACAUUUAAAGAACUAAUACCAAUUUUACUCAAACUAUUUGAAAAAAUUGAAAAGAAGGGAAUAUUUCCAAACAAAUUAUUUGAAGCCAGCAUUACCCCAAUACCAAAACCAAAUAAGGACGCAAAAACAAAAGAAAAAUAGCUAUAGGCCAAUAUCCGUGAUAAACACAGAUGUAAAAAUCCUCAACAAAAUACUUGCAAACUGAAUUCAGCAACACAAUAAACAGAUCAUUCACCAUGAUCAAGUGGAACUAAUCCCAGAGAUGCAAAGAUGUUUCCACAUAUGCAAAUCAAUAAAUAUGACAUAUCACAUCAACAGAAUCAAGGACAAAAAUGUGAUCAUUUUAAUCAGUGAUGAAACAGUGUGCAAUUAAAUUCAACAUCCCUUUGUAAUAAGAACUCUUAACAAAUUGGGUACAGAAGGAAUAUAUCUCAACAUGAUAAAGGCCAUAUAUGACAAACUCACAGCUGUUAUUCUGAAUGGUAAAAUAAUGAAAACUUUUCCACUAAAAUCUUGAACAAAACAAGUAUUCACACUUUCGGCUGGGUGCGGUAGCUCAUGCCUGUAAUCCCAGCACUUUGGGAAGCCAAGGCAGGCAGAUUACCUGAGGUUGGGAGUACAAGACCACCCUGACCAACAUGGAGAAACCCAUCUCUACUAAAAGUACAAAAUUAGCCCAGUGUGGUGGCACAUGCCUGUAAUCACAGCUACUCCGGAGGCUGAGGCAGGAGAACUGCUUGAACCUGGGAAGUGGAGGUUACGGUGAGCCAAGGUGGCACCAUUGCACUCCAGCCUGAGCAACAACAGUGAAACUUCAUCUUGGAAAAAAAAAAAAAAACCAGUAUGCACACUUUCACCACUUCUAUUCAACAUACCACUGGAAGCUCUUUCCAUAGCAAUCACAAAAGAGAAAUAAAUGGAGAUCAAAAUUGGAAAGGAUGAGAAUAAAUGAAACUUGUUUGUAGACAACAUGAUCUUAUGUUUAUGAAAACCUAAAGACUGAAGCAAAAAACUCUUAGAACUGAUAAAAGAAUUCAGUAAAGUUGCAGGACGCAAAAUCAACAUACAAGAAAAAUCAGUAGGAUUUUUAUAUGCUAACAGUGAUCAGCCUAAGAAAGAAAUCAAGAAAGCAAUAUUGUUUAUAAUAGCUACAAAAAACACCCAGGAAUAAAUUUAACAAAAGAAGUGAAAGAUCUCUACAAGGAGGAUUAUAAAACACUAACAAAAUAAAUUGACGAGAACCUCCCCCAAAUGGAAAGAUAUCUCAUGCUUAUGAAUUGAAAGAAUUAAUAUUGUUAAAAUGUCUAUAUUAGGUAAAGAAGCUUCAAUGCAAUACCCAUCAAUACCAGUGUCAUUCUUGACAGAAAUGGAAAAAAAAUCCUAAAAUUCAUAUAUAAGCAGGAAAGACCCCAAAUAGCUAAAAACACCCAAAGCAAAAAGAGCAAAGCUGGAGGCAUCACACUACCCGAUUUGAAAUUAUACUACAAAGCUAUAGUAACCAAAACAACAUGAUACUAGCAUAAGAACAGACACACAGAGAAAUGGAAUGGAGCCCAGAACCCAGAAAUAAAUCCAUACACUUACAGCCACCUCAUUUUUGACAAGGCACCAAGAACUAGAAAGUCUCUCUCUCUCUCUUUUUUUUUUUUUUUUUUUUUUUUUUGAGACAGAGUUUCACUCUUGUCACCCAGGCUGGAGUGCAAUGACACGAUCUCUGCUAACUGCAACCUCUGCCUCCCAGGUUCAAGUGAUUCUCCUGCCUCAGCCUCCUGAGUAGCUGGGAUUACUGUCACCAUGCCUAACAAAUUUUUGUAUUUUUAGUAGAGACGAGAUUUCACCAUGUUGUCCAGGAUGGUCUCGAACUCCUGACCUCAGGUGAUCUGCCCGCCUUGGCUUUCCAAAGUGCUGAGAUUACAGGCAUGAGCCACCACGCCCAGCCAGGAAGUCUCUUUAAUAAAUACUGCUUGGAAAACUGUGUAUCCCUAUGCAGAAGAAUAAAAUUAUAUCUCCAUCUUUCAACAUAUAUAAAAAUCAACUCAAAAUGGAUUAGAGACUUAAAUAUAAGACUGGAAACUAUAAAACUAGUCAAUAAAAACAUUGAAGAAAUGCUACAGAACAUUGAUCUGGCCAAAGGUUUUUUUGGUAAGACUUCAAAAGCACAGGCACCCAAAGCAAAAAUUUAAAAAUGGUAUUACCUCAAGCUAAAAAGCUUCUGCUCACAAAGGAAACAAUCAACAAAGUGAAGAGAGAAGCCACAGAAUGGGAAAAAACAUUUGCAAAGUAUUCAUCUAAUGAGGUAUUAAUACCCAGAGAAUAAAUAAGGAAUUCAAACAACCCAAUAGCAAAAUAUUAAUAAUAAUAUGAUCAAAAAGUGGGGAAAAGAUCAGAAUUGACUUUUCUCAAAAGAAGACAUACAAAUGGCCAACAAAUACAGAAAAAAAAGACUCAACAUCACUAAUCAUCAGGGAAAUGCAAAUAAAAACCACAGUGGGAUAUCAUUGUACUUCAGUUAGAAUGGCAUUAUAAAAAGAUUAAAAAAUAACAAAUGGUGACAAGGAUGAGGAGGAAAGGGAACACUCUUACAACUACUGGUGGCAAUUUAAAGUAGUACAGCCAUUAUGGAAAACAGUAUGGAAGUUCCUCAAAAAACUAAAAAUUGGGCUACCUUAUGACCCAGCAAUCACACCACAUAUGUCCAAAAGAGAGGAAAUUGGUAUAUUGAAGAGAUAUCUGCACUCACAUACAUAUCACAGCGCUAUUCACAAUAGUGGAUACAUAGAAUCAACUAAGUGUCCACUAACAAAUGAAUAGAUAAAUGUGGUAUAUAUAUAUAUAUAUACACAGCUGAAUUUAUAUAUAUAUAUAUAUACACACACAGAACUGUAUGUAUAUAUAGAACUGUAUAUAUGUAAUUUGUAGCAACAUGAACACAACUGGAGGUCAUAAUAGUAAGUAAAAUCAACCAGUUACAGAAAGACAAACACUGAAUAUUCUUUCUCAUAUGUGGAAGCUAAAAAGUGGAUUUUUUUUUUUUUUUGAGACGAAGUUUUGCUUUUGUCAUCCAGGCUGGAGUGCAAUGGCACAAUCUCGGCUCACUGCAACCUCCGCCUCCCAGGUUCAAGUGAUUCUCCUGCCUCAGCCUCCCAAGUAGCUGGGAUUACAGGCACGCACCACCAUGCCAGGCUCAUUUUUGUAUUUUUAGUAGAGAUGAGGUUUCACCAUGUUGGCCAGGCUGGCCUCGAACUCCUAACCUCAGGUGAUCCACUUGCCUCCACCUCCCAAAGUGCUGGGAUUACAGGCAUGAGCCCCAAUGCCUGGCCUAAAAAGCAGAUCUUAUGAAGGUAGAGAAUAGAAUAGGGGUGAUAUGGUUUGAAUUUGUGUCCCCGCCCAAAUCUCAUGUCGAAUUGCAAUCCCCAAUAUUGGAGGAGGGGCCUGGUGGGAGGUGAUUGGAUCAUGGGGCUGGAUUUCCCCCUUGCUGUUCUUGUGAUACUGAGUUCUCAGGAUAUCUGGUUGUUUUCAAAGUGUGUAGCACUUCCCUCUUUACUCUCUCUUCCUCCUGCUCCAGCCAUGUAGGAUGUGCCUGCUUCCCCUCUGCCAUGAUUUUAAGUUUCCUGAGGCUCCCCCAGUCAUCUUUCCUGUACAGCCUAUGGAACCAUGAGCCAGUUAAACCUCUUUUCUUUAUAAAAUGCCAAGUCUCAGGUAUUUCUUUAUAGCAGUAUGAGAACAGACUAAUACAGAAGGUAACAAGAGGCUGGGAAGAGGGGACAAAGAGGGGUUUGUUAAGGGGCACAAAAAUACAGUUAGAUACGAGGAAUAAGUUCUAGUAAUCAAUAGUAAAAUAUGGAUAUCGUAGUUAUCAGUAAUUUAUCAUGUAUCUUAAAAUAGCUAGAAGAUUCGUAAUGUUCCCAACACAAAUGAAGGAUAAAUGAGGUGAAGGAUAUCCCAAUUACCCUGAUUGGAUUAUUACACAUUAUAUACAUGUGUCAAAAUAUCAUAUGUGUCUCCAAAAUGUGUACAGAUUUUAUAUGUAUUAUAUAUAAUACAUAUAUAUGUAUUUAUACAUACACAUGCAUAUAUAUGUACAUAUAUAUAUGCAUGUGUAAAUAUUCUACUCUUCCUGAAAAGAAAGAGCUGGAGGAAUCCUGUUUCACCCAAGAUCAUAGUGAUGACAGCUUCCUAAGAGCAGAGGACAUUACUGACAUCAGCUUGGUUUGUGUUUGAGAAUAUUCUAUGUAUUGCUUAUAACACUUCAAAUCCAAUAGAAACAACUCUUCUCAGAGGUGUAAAAAUUUAGUUAACCAUGGUGAACUACAUCUGACUCCAUUAUUAUAAUUCAUGCCUGUCUUCAGCUUUAAUGCUAUCAAUGAGAACAAGAAUAUUUGGCUUAUCUUCAACAUCUUCAUACCAUCAGAUAACUCCAAAGUUAACACAGGAUACGUCAUCCACAUUGCUGCCAGAGCAUUCUCUCUGAAAUGAUUAUCUGAUCAUCAUCCUCUCUUCUUCUCCACAAGCUCAAACACUUUCAGUGACUGAUUUGAAACCAGGUAUAUUUUUUAGCGUGGCAAAAAUAUGAAUCUUGGGUAUUAGCCUUCUAUCUGGCCUUAUGAUAUAGAAAUAUCAAAACACUGGUAAGUAUCUAAAUACACCUUCUAUGCCUUGUCAAUGCCUCUUAUUUUCUGGAGUGCCUCAUUUCAGAUUGUUGGCUGUAAAACUCUUAAUCACCAUAAGACUCUUAAGUUUCUCUUUGAAGAUUUUAUGACUCUCUGACUUUUGAAACAAUCUUCACUCUGUAACAUUCAUUAUAUGCAAUUCUUUGUUGUAUAUUAUACUGUAAUAUUAUUAUUUAUAUGCAUCUCUAUUUCCUUUACAAGACUAUAGGCAAUCUGAAGUUAGACAGAAUAUAUUAUUCAUUUUUAUACCUCAAAUUCCUGUCUCGGUGCCUGAGGAAUAUACAGGGCACUUGGGAAGUAUUUGAGGAAUUUGGAUUGUAGCGUGGCUUCUCUCUGGGAUACUGUUAGUCAACCAACCCUUGAGGGAUGGUGACAUCAUGGAUCAUUCUAAUUAAAGCCAAAAUCAUUCAGGAUUAUAAUCAUCUAUGUUAAAUGACCUUUUGAAAUUACCUUCUGCUAAGAGCUACUGCCAUGGUUGGGCUGAUCAGAGAGGGCAAUGGUCUUGGAAGAUUCAAAGAUAAGCAAAACAAAUGGUGGUAGAAUAAUGUAAAGACGAUUUUGGUCAUGUGAGUUAUAGCCAGCAACAUCAACUCACCUUUGCAAGAAAAUAAAACAACAUGAUAAUAAAUUAAUAUUUUGCUAAAAUUCUUUUUUAUCAAGUUUUAUUACACAGAAUUUAUAUUCAGUCCUGUAUUUAUAAACUUCAUUUCCAUAUGCUUCAGUUGUGGUUAUCAUUUAAUUCAGACCCAGGCAAUAGAUUUUUAGUUCUAUUUUUUAAAGUUCAGCAAAUAUAGCUUCUCAGUACUUAAUAUGACUACAUGUCUUGGAUGUUUAGAAAAUAUUUCAAAUAGGCUUUUCUACUGUUUUGAAAUAUUUACAGCCUCCUUUCCAGAUACAUUUAUGAUUUUAAGAGAAACAGUUAGUUUAACUACAUUGGAUAAAAUUUUUUUGGCAUUCAUCUUCAGUAUGUAGUGGCUAGUAGAGAAUCAAUCAUUUUCUCCUAAUACGUUACCCAUUAGAAUUGAGUAUUUUAUUUCCCUCAUCCUAAUCUACGAUAAUCACUACCAGAUGAGCCCAAUUUUAAGAACAGCCCAUUAUUUCCAUAGUACUAUUUGUAUCCUCUAUGUAUGCUAAAUAAGGAGGCCAAAAAUCUCAGUUUGGAAGCUUAUUCAACAAAUGAACUUGAUGGCUGGUCUAUUUAUUACUCUGCUUUUGCAGAUAUAGUGCUAUGACUAAACUCAGAUGCAGGUAAACUACAACACUAUGUUUUUCAGCUUCAGGGACUCCAGCCUAUUCAAAUACAUUUUUAUAAAUAAAAUAGAUUUUUAAAAAGUCUUUAGAGAUAUAUCUUUUAAAAUUUGUGAUAGAAUUUCUUUCCUAUCUGACUUACUGUUGACCUCAUUAAAAUUACUGGUACAGAAAAGCAAUUCCAGUCCUAGUUCCAAAAGAAAAUAACAUGUAAAGACACAGGAGUGAGUGAGAGGAUUAAAAGAUAUUUUGAAACUCCUUUUUAAACCAUAUGCCAUUGCAUUUUCCCUUGCUGAAUUUUAGGUAACUUCCCAAAGAUUACAGAACAAGCAUUGGAGACAGGUCUCAUUCCUGGGUUGGCUGGCUCUGAAGCUGUACAUUAAACAUAUUUUCCUGCAUUGUCUCCCGUGGAUAUUAGAUUAAUAUUUGACAAAGCAUGUUCAAUUAGACUCAAAACAAUUCAACAAAAUUUGAGAACCUACCAUGAUCCAGUUCCAAGACGCCUGACACUGUAGAGCUCACAUUCUGGUAGGGGGAAACAAUGAACAAUAAACAUAAUAAAUAAGUUAUCCAUUGUAUUGGAAGAUUAUAUACGCUAUGGGAGAAAAAUUGCAGAUAUAGAGGAUGUUGGAAUAUUUGUGAAUUGAUUAUUUUUGAAUUGUUUUAGAUUUGUUAGCUUGUACCCCCCAUGGGAAACAACUUUAUAACCUAGAAUACGGUGAUUUUAUCUGGCUUAUAUUGAUAAUACAGAGUGAAAUCUUACAGUCUUCACUCAUUUCCAAAGUUACUUAGGUAACUUUGCAAUCCAAAGUAGUUACCUAAAGUUUGCUGUUUUGUGUAUAUGUGUGUUUACUUUUAUUGUAUAUUUGUUUUUCUAAACUCUUCGGCACAAUUUUCUGGGGGCAUUCAGACUGCCACAAUAUAAGUCGGGAGAGGACGUUUUCUUUGUACUGCCAAUUCUGAUCAUUUAAAUUUUGGUUUGUUUGGGUUGUGACUUUUUUGAAGUCUGAGUUCUUUAUUUGUAACAAUUAUACUUUUAUUUUUCUAUGUCCUCUAAUGCCAGUUUUUUCUCCCCCCUCCCCCCAACCACGUCUACAUUCACAGUUGUACCGUAUUAUUAGGAAAG
rnacentral:lncRNA from 1 species